rnacentral:rRNA from 1 species
CCUACGGGUGGCAGCAGUGAGGAAGAUUGGUCAAUGGGCGCGCGCCUGAACCAGCCAAGUAGCGUGAAGGAGGACUGCCCUACGGGUUGUAAACUUCUUUUAUAAAGGAAUAAAGUGAGGCACGUGUGCCUUGUUGUAUGUACAUUAUGAAUAAGGAGCGGCUAACUCCGUGCCAGCAGCCGCGGUAAUACGGAGGAUCCGAGCCUUAUCCGGAUUUAUUGGGUUUACAGGGAGCGUAGAUGGGUUGUUAAGUCAGUUGUGAAAGUUUGCGGCUACACCGUAAAAUUGCAAUUUAUACUGGCAGUCUUGCGUACAGUUGCGGUUGGCGGAAUUCGUGGUGUAGCGGU